rnacentral:rRNA from 1 species
GAGUUUGAUCCUGGCUCAGGACGAACGCUGGCGGCGCGCCUAACACAUGCAAGUCGAACGAGCAAAGAGGAGCUUGCUUCUCUGAGCGAGUGGCGAACGGGUGAGUAACGCGUGAGGAACCUGCCUCAAAGAGGGGGACAACAGUUGGAAACGACUGCUAAUACCGCAUAAGCCCACGGGUCGGCAUCGACCAGAGGGAAAAGGAGCAAUCCGCUUUGAGAUGGCCUCGCGUCCGAUUAGCUAGUUGGUGAGGUAACGGCCCACCAAGGCGACGAUCGGUAGCCGGACUGAGAGGUUGAACGGCCACAUUGGGACUGAGACACGGCCCAGACUCCUACGGGAGGCAGCAGUGGGGAAUAUUGCACAAUGGGGGAAACCCUGAUGCAGCGACGCCGCGUGGAGGAAGAAGGUCUUCGGAUUGUAAACUCCUGUUGUUGAGGAAGAUAAUGACGGUACUCAACAAGGAAGUGACGGCUAACUACGUGCCAGCAGCCGCGGUAAAACGUAGGUCACAAGCGUUGUCCGGAAUUACUGGGUGUAAAGGGAGCGCAGGCGGGAAGACAAGUUGGAAGUGAAAUCCAUGGGCUCAACCCAUGAACUGCUUUCAAAACUGUUUUUCUUGAGUAGUGCAGAGGUAGGCGGAAUUCCCGGUGUAGCGGUGGAAUGCGUAGACAUCGGGAGGAACACCAGUGGCGAAGGCGGCCUACUGGGCACCAACUGACGCUGAGGCUCGAAAGUGUGGGUAGCAAACAGGAUUAGAUACCCUGGUAGUCCACACCGUAAACGAUGAUUACUAGGUGUUGGAGGAUUGACCCCUUCAGUGCCGCAGUUAACACAAUAAGUAAUCCACCUGGGGAGUACGACCGCAAGGUUGAAACUCAAAGGAAUUGACGGGGGCCCGCACAAGCAGUGGAGUAUGUGGUUUAAUUCGACGCAACGCGAAGAACCUUACCAAGUCUUGACAUCCUGCGACGGACAUAGAAAUAUGUCUCUCCUUCGGGACGCAGAGACAGGUGGUGCAUGGUUGUCGUCAGCUCGUGUCGUGAGAUGUUGGGUUAAGUCCCGCAACGAGCGCAACCCUUAUGGUCAGUUACUACGCAAGAGGACUCUGGCCAGACUGCCGUUGACAAAACGGAGGAAGGUGGGGAUGACGUCAAAUCAUCAUGCCCUUUAUGACUUGGGCUACACACGUACUACAAUGGCGUUAAACAAAGAGAAGCAAGACCGCGAGGUGGAGCAAAACUCAGAAACAACGUCCCAGUUCGGACUGCAGGCUGCAACUCGCCUGCACGAAGUCGGAAUUGCUAGUAAUCGUGGAUCAGCAUGCCACGGUGAAUACGUUCCCGGGCAUUGUACACAGCGCCCGUC